CUGUCGUCAGCUCGUGUUGUGAAAUGUUGGGUUAAGUCCCGCAACGAGCGCAACCCUUAUCCUUUGUUGCCAGCGAUUCGGUCGGGAACUCAAAGGAGACUGCCGGUGAUAAACCGGAGGAAGGUGGGGAUGACGUCAAGUCAUCAUGGCCCUUACGAGUAGGGCUACACACGUGCUACAAUGGCGCAUACAAAGAGAAGCGACCUCGCGAGAGCAAGCGGACCUCACAAAGUGCGUCGUAGUCCGGAUCGGAGUCUGCAACUCGACUCCGUGAAGUCGGAAUCGCUAGUAAUCGUGGAUCAGAAUGCCACGGUGACUACGUUCCCCGGCG
rnacentral:rRNA from 1 species